rnacentral:tRNA from 1 species
GCAGUGGUGGGUCAGUGGUAGAAUUCUUGCCUUCUGUGCAAAAGGCCCAGGUUUGAUUCCCGGCCGGUGCA